UCAUGAUAAGGAAAAGACGGAAAAGAGGAUAUAAAGAAAGGGGAAAAAAAGAAUAAUAAUAAGAUAGGAGGGGGAGCAAAAGGCUAGGUGGCGCCAGCCGCCGCCCGUUACAAAGGGUAUAGCCGCCAUCCAGAGACUAGAACAGAGCACAAUAGGAACUGACAUAAGCUAUAUGCUGGAAGGGCAGAAGGUAGCUCAAAUACCAGCCGGACUGAUGUAUGCAGAUGAUAUUGUACUGCUUGCUGACACCCGAGUAGGGCUACAGGAACUAAUGAAUAUAUGUGGAGAGGAGGGAGAAAAAUUGGGACUGCAAUUCAGUAGAGAGAAGUCUGGGAUAAUAGUAUACAAUGAAGAAAGGGGGGAACCAUUGGAAAUACAAAGCACUAAGAUUGAUCAUGUUGAAAAAUACAAGUAUUUGGGCAUAUGGCUAAACGAGGGCAAAAAGUACUUGGAAGAACAGGAAAAAAUUAUGAUUGAAAAAGCGAAAAGGAACUCAGCUGUAAUGAAACACAAGGCACUUUGGAACUAUAAUAGGUACGAGGUGGUUAGGGGCGGUGGUUAGGGGCGUAUGGAAAGGGGUUAUGGUACCUGGCCUCACAUUCGGAAAUUCAGUACUGUGCAUGAAAUCGGAAGUUCAGGCAUGCAUGGAAACGAGACAGAGAAGUGUAGGCAGGUUGGCCUUAGGAGCACACGGGAACACCCCUAAUGAGGGAGUGCAGGGGGACAUGGGAUGGACGUCAUUCGAAGGUAGAGAGGCAAUAAGUAAACUAAAAUUUGAACAGAGACUCCCAGCACUGGAGGAAAAAAGGUGGGCAGGAAAAGUGUACAAAUAUCUGUACAUGAAAAGUUUGAACACAAAGUGGACACUCAGAACGAGGAAGCUGAGGAAUAGAUACCUACAGCCGAGGGAGGGGGUCCAACGUGGUUCUAAUGUGGGAAAGGAGGUGAAGGAGACGGAAAGAAAAAUGUGGGAAGAAAGAAUGCUCGGAAAGCCAGCGCUAUCAAUGUAUAGGUCACAAAAACAGGAGAUUAAGAGAGAGCUCUUAUUUGAUAACUCGCGGGGCAGCUCACUAUUAUUCGAAGCUAGGACGGGGGUUUUGAGAACGAAAACAUACAGGGCUAAAUUUGAAGACGUGGACCUUCGGUGCACAGCUUGCGGAGCCGAAAUGGAGACCACUGAGCAUAUAGUGCUGAGAUGCACAGAUCUUCGCCCAAUCCUGGCAGAGGGAACAGUGGCAGAUAUGGAAGGGGCAUUAGGUGUUCCCGGGGAACGAGGGCAAAUAGACGAGAAAAGAGUGGCAGUAACGAAGGGGAGGCUAGAGGAUUGGUGGAGGAAGUCAAGGGAUAGAUAAUACCAUAAAUCGGGGAGAUAAUGUUUCCUCUACUGUUUUAGAUAGUUAUUUUGGGGGGAGGAGGGGAGUGAAAACUAGGUUAAGGAAAAGAGGAUAUAAAGAAAGGAAAAAAAAAGAAUAAUAAUAAAAUAGGAGGGGGAGCAAAAGGCUAGGUGGCGCUAGCCGCCGCCCGUUACAAAGGGUAUAGCCGCCAUCCAUCCAUCCAUCCAUGCAAAGAAAACCAUGGCAUGGUUGGUUCCAUGCAUAGAGUUUCUCACUACAUUAUAGUGAGAAACUCUAUGGUUCCAUGGUUGGUUCUUCAUUCUAUGGCAUAUUUCACGGCACAAUUAGGUCAUGGAAGGAAAUAUGUAUUUUUCUUCCUCCAUGGUUAGCAUAGUUCAUAGGCGCAGUUGGUUAGAUUGGUUCUUUUCCAUGGGCGCAGCUGUAUCCUAUGGCACGGAGGGAGAUCGGUUUUUUUUUUCCCCCUUCCUCCGUGUCCUAUGAAUUGGGGCAGUCCAACUGGAGAGGUAAGGCAAAGUACAAGCUCCAAGAAAAUGAUGUUCAGUGUGAACAUCUUGCAAGCAGAAGCAACGAGCCAGCACAACCAUCAUCCUCUGGCUUACGCACCAUCCACACAAAUGGCUGCAAGGUCUGGCAACCAUGCAAGCGAAACUGGUUCGUCAUUGGGUUCAGCCACAUCAAUACUGGAGGCCUUUUCAAGUCGCUCGCUCGAAGGUUCUUUCCAAACUUGGCAAGAAUAACACCAGUGAAUGCAGCUAGUUCUACUGUCUCCGUGAAGAAAUAAAUAUCUGAACUUUAUAUUUGUUAA